rnacentral:rRNA from 1 species
CGAACGGUGAUGAAGAGCUUGCUCUUUGGAUCAGUGGCGAACGGGUGAGUAACACGUGAGCAAUCUGCCCUUGACUCUGGGAUAACUGCGGGAAACUGUAGCUAAUACCGGAUAUGACCCAGGAAGGCAUCUUUUUGGGUGGAAAGAAUUUUGGUCAAGGAUGAGCUCGCGGCCUAUCAGCUAGUUGGUGAGGUAAUGGCUCACCAAGGCGACGACGGGUAGCCGGCCUGAGAGGGUGACCGGCCACACUGGGACUGAGACACGGCCCAAACUCCUACGGGAGGCAGCAGUGGGGAAUAUUGCACAAUGGGCGCAAGCCUGAUGCAGCAACGCCGCGUGAGGGACGAAGGCCUUCGGGUUGUAAACCUCUUUUAGUAGGGAAGAAGCGACUGGGUUUUCCUGGGAGUGACGGUACCUGCAAAAAAAGCACCGGCUAACUACGUGCCAGCAGCCGCGGUAAUACGUAGGGUGCAAGCGUUGUCCGGAAUUAUUGGGCGUAAAGAGCUCGUAGGCGGUUUGUCGCGUCUGCUGUGAAAACCCGAGGCUCAACCUCGGGCCUGCAGUGGGUACGGGCAGACUAGAGUGCGGUAGGGGAGAUUGGAAUUCCUGGUGUAGCGGUGGAAUGCGCAGAUAUCAGGAGGAACACCAAUGGCGAAGGCA